rnacentral:rRNA from 1 species
GGCUACGGUCACACCACCCUGAACGCGCCCGAUCUCGUCUGGUCUGGGGAGCUGAGCAGGGUCGGGCCUGGUUAGUACUUGGAUGGGAGAACAAACAUGUGUGCCAUCUGGCUGUAUUUU